GACGAACGCUGGCGGCGUGCCUAAUACAUGCAAGUAGAACGCUGAAGACUUUAGCUUGCUAAAGUUGGAAGAGUUGCGAACGGGUGAGUAACGCGUAGGUAACCUGCCUACUAGCGGGGGAUAACUAUUGGAAACGAUAGCUAAUACCGCAUAACAGCAUUUAACCCAUGUUAGAUGCUUGAAAGGAGCAAUUGCUUCACUAGUAGAUGGACCUGCGUUGUAUUAGCUAGUUGGUGAGGUAACGGCUCACCAAGGCGACGAUACAUAGCCGACCUGAGAGGGUGAUCGGCCACACUGGGACUGAGACACGGCCCAGACUCCUACGGGAGGCAGCAGUAGGGAAUCUUCGGCAAUGGGGGCAGCCCUGACCGAGCAACGCCGCGUGAGUGAAGAAGGUUUUCGGAUCGUAAAGCUCUGUUGUAAGAGAAGAACGUGUGUGAGAGUGGAAAGUUCACACAGUGACGGUAACUUACCAGAAAGGGACGGCUAACUACGUGCCAGCAGCCGCGGUAA
rnacentral:rRNA from 1 species